AAACCAACAGGGAUUGCCUUAGUAACGGCGAGCGAAGCGGCAAUAGCUCAAAUUUGAAAUCUGGCGUCUUUGGCGUCCGAGUUGUAAUUUCAAGAAGUGUCUUCUGGUUUGGCCCUUGCAUAUGUUCCUUGGAACAGGACGUCAUAGAGGGUGAGAAUCCCGUAUAUGGUGAGGUGCCCAUUCCUUUGUAAGUCGCUUUCUAAGAGUCGAGUUGUUUGGGAAUGCAGCUCUAAGUGGGUGGUAAAUUCCAUCUAAAGCUAAAUAUUGGCGAGAGACCGAUAGCGAACAAGUACUGUGAAGGAAAGAUGAAAAGAACUUUGAAAAGAGAGUGAAAAAGUACGUGAAAUUGCUGAAAGGGAAGGGCUUGAGAUCAGACUUGGUAUUCAGUGAUCAGCUUUCUUUCGGGACUGUGCACUCGCUGUUUACUGGGCCAACAUCAGUUUAGAUGGCGAGAUAAUGACAAUUGAAUGUGGCUUCUUUCUUCGGAUUGGAGUGUUAUAGCUUUUGUUGAUAUCGCCUAUCUGGACUGAGGACUGCGCUUUNGCUAGGAUGUUGGCGUAAUGAUCUUAAGCCACC
rnacentral:rRNA from 1 species